rnacentral:rRNA from 1 species
UUGACCUCAAAUCAGGUAGGACUACCCGCUGAACUUAAGCAUAUCAAUAAGCGGAGGAAAAGAAACUAACAAGGAUUCCCCUAGUAACUGCGAGUGAAGCGGGAAAAGCUCAAAUUUAAAAUCUGGCGGUUCUUGUGGCCGUCCGAGUUGUAAUUUAGAGAAGUGUUAUCCGCGCUGGACCGUGUACAAGUCUCCUGGAAUGGAGCGUCAUAGAGGGUGAGAAUCCCGUCUUUGACACGGACUGCCAGGGCAUUGUGAUGCGCUCUCGAAGAGUCGAGUUGUUUGGGAAUGCAGCUCAAAAUGGGUGGUAAAUUCCAUCUAAAGCUAAAUAUUGGGGAGAGACCGAUAGCGAACAAGUACCGUGAGGGAAAGAUGAAAAGAACUUUGGAAAGAGAGUUAAACAGUACGUGAAAUUGCUGAAAGGGAAACGCUUGAAGUCAGUCGCGUCGUUCAGGACUCAGCCUUGCUUUUGCUUGGUGUACUUCUUGUUCGACGGGUCAGCAUCAAUUUUGGUCGGUGGAUAAAGGCUUAGAGAAUGUGGCAUCUUCGGGUGUGUUAUAGCUCUGGGUCGCAUACAUCGGCUGGGAUUGAGGAACUCAGCACGCCGCAAGGCCGGGUACUUGUACCACGUACGUGCUUAGGAUGCUGGCAUAAUGGCUUUAAUCGACCCGUC